UCAGAGUGUGAAAAGUUUAUUGAUUCUGAACAAAAGUUCAAUUCAUAGUGGUUAGAUGUUGUACUGAGGGAUUUGGUUUAGUCAAGGACUUGCCAGUGUGAAGCUAAUGAUUGGACUCAAUGAUCUCAAAGGUCUUUUCCAAUCUAAGAAAUGCUGUGAUUCUGUGAAAAAUGUUCAUACAAGUUGCUAAUGUGAUUUUAUUAAUCUACUUAAAAAACAUAAAUGCAUUGAUUUUCUUGGUUAUUUACCUUAGCCCUAAGGAAGUGUAAAAGCAUUGCUUGAGAGCUUCCCUUUGAAUAAUUGGAAUCUCUCCGUUUAUCAUGCCAUGAGGAUCAACUUGAGGAUAUUGUCUUCAACAUAGUGUAGUUAGCAAUGUUUUUUUUUACCACCAGGCAGCUGUUUGACAACACGGGGUAUGUUCAGCAGAGGAAAGAGCAGGGAAGAACAAGAAAAGAACCCUGAUGAAAGAAAAGGCCAUGAAAAAGUCUAACAGCUCCAGUUUUUGUGUGUGAAUUACUUCAGUGCCACCACCAUGCUUCUGAGGGAAGCUUUGUCUUCAUCCCUCACUGAGUAUUUUGCCUGCUAAUGGAGCUGUCCAGUGAGUGGAGAUGCUAAUGCUGCUUUCGACCGUGGAUCUACCUCUCAGUUAUACCCUCCUGUGGAUGAUGAAACAUUAAAUAAAGCUUUGAAGUUUUCUUGCCCUCUGAUGAACUGAAUGAUGAUGAUGAUGUACUUCUUACCAAAAGCAUCUAUCAUUUAAACUCCCACACUUCCCUACACAUUCAGCGCUGUUUAAAGGCAACUUAACGCCUUUAAUUCUUCAGUUCAUGAAGGCUGAUAAUGGCAUUUAAAUGGAGUCCAAAGGGUACCCCCAGAUAAAAGAAACAAUGACAUCACAAUCUUCAUGAAGCUGGGGCAGAAUCCCUGUGUUAAGCAGAUGAUGCUUUCUAUAAAAAAGUUGUAAGUGGAAUCAUGGAAGUCUCAACACCCCCUGAUAUAUCACUGAUGAACUCUGAAGUUUAUCAUUGGUAUUCCCAGGGAGGUGGUGGAGUCACUGUUCCUGGAGGUGUUCAAGAAA